rnacentral:rRNA from 1 species
AUUGAACGCUGGCGGCAGGCCUAACACAUGCAAGUCGAGCGAGCGGCGGACGGGUGAGUAAUGUAUGGGGACUGCCCGAUAGAGGGGGAUAACUACUGGAAACGGUAGCUAAUACCGCAUCCUAUCGGAUAACCCAUAUGGGAUUAGCUAUUUGGUGAGGUAAUGGCUCACCAAGGCGACGAUACCUAGCUGGUCUGAGAGGAUGCGCAGCCACACUGGGACUGAGACACGGUCCAGACUCCUAAGGAGGCAGAAGUGGGGAAGAUUGCACAAGGGGCGCAAGCCUGAUGCAGCCAUGCCGCGUGUAUGAAGAAGGCCUUCGGGUUGUAAAGGACUUUCAGCGAGGAGGCGUUACUCGCAGAAGAAGCACCGGCUAACUCCGUGCCAGCCGCCGCGGUAAUUC